UUCCAGUGGGUAUACAAGUUAAGAAGACACUUUUGAAAGUACUAAUUUUGAGUAUAUUUCGUCGAUACGGAUGAACGAACUCUCUAAAACACUUCUUCCUCAAAAAGUACUAAAUGUAACAUAAGUUGGGAUUUGGAGCGAGGCAGACAAAGUAAAGCGAUGAAGAACCCCUAACUCCCAUAUAGAUUCUUCUUCAACCAUCACCAAUAGCGGACGAUGAUCAUGAUAUGGGUGAUUUGGGAAUAAUGGAUUGAUAUUUGGAAGGGAAACAAAAGGGGGAUUUAGUACGGUGAGUUGGAUUUUAGUUUUAUAGUGUACAUUACUCGGAUAUUUGUUUUGAUUGCUUGGAUGAUUUUGUUUGUUGAUAUCAUAAUGUGAUUGAUGAACUCUAAUAAGUUAGAGAAAUCAAAUUGGUUUUGUUCACGAUUAUCAAUAAAUCAAAUUGGGUAAACAAAGUACUCAAACAACUGAUGUUUACAAAUUAUUGGUUCUUUAGUGCUUUUGUAGAUCAUCAAGGGUCAUUUUCACAAGAAACGAACAGUAUGAACUAUUAAUUAGUGGUGAUUUCUCUUUCACUUUUGUGUCUUUAUGAUUUUGGAGUUACUACUCAAGUUAUACAAUCACAAGUUAUGUACAAUGAAGCGGAUGCAGGAACAAAUGGAGCCUUGAAGCCUUGCACCACACCACAAACAUAAGCCUUGAAAUAUAUUUGUUUGUUCAUAUUGCUAGAUGGUUCACUUUGAUGGCGUUUCUUAUUCUGAACCUUUGAAGGCUUUUGUAGAUUGCUCAAGGGUCACUUAUAAGAGAAACGGGCUAUAUGAACUCUUAAGGAAAUGUGUUAGCCUUCUCUUCAUUCAGUUACAGUCUGAAAUAUGUAUCUUACUCCAGAUUUUAUUUCCUAACGAUUGAUGUUAAAUGGUCCCUGUUAGAAGACAAACAAUGCAUAGGAUGGGCAAUUGGAUGUUAGAGACAGAAAAUGCAUAGCUUUAUAUAUCAACAGCUUCCCAGUAGGCUUUGAUAUGAAAGUACUCUUAAGAAAUGCAAGUACCAGAUUGGUCUAAACCGGUGAAAAGGAUAUACAUGACUUGGGUCCUCUCAAAUGGAAGAGGUUAAUGCGUUCGUUGGUGCACGGCAACUCGCUCAAAUGUGCGUGGAUUGAGAUGGCUUCCGGCAUUUGAGCAACAUAGAGUCUUUCGGCUUAAGGAUUUCAUAUUUUAGAUAUUCUUAGAGUUUCGGUUAUUCAUUCUAUCACAUUUUAGAUUUUAGUUUAUUUUUGGAAUAUUUUUCAAUGUAUGUUAUUUAUUUUUAAUUAUAAAUUCGGAUGACUCUAUUUUAAAUUUUUU